CACGUAGGAGGCGAGCGUUGUCCGGAAUCAUUGGGCGUAAAGAGCGCGCAGGCGGCUUGGCAAGUCGGGUGUGAAAUCCCGGGGCUCAACCCCGGGACUGCAUUCGAUACUGUCAGGCUAGAGGUAGGUAGGGGAGAUCGGAAUUCCCGGUGUAGCGGUGAAAUGCGCAGAUAUCAGGAGGAACACCGGUGGCGAAGGCGGAUCUCUGGGCCUUACCUGACGCUCAGGCGCGAAAGCUAGGGGAGCGAACAGG
rnacentral:rRNA from 1 species